rnacentral:misc_RNA from 1 species
GAAGAAUCCAGGGACACCUGGACGUUGAAUUAAAUGAAGCUGGACGACAACAAGCAGUUGCAGUUGCUAAUCGGCUGGCCAAGGAGCCUCCAAUCUCUGCUGUAUACUCUUCUGACUUAAAAAGAGCUCUUGAAACUGCACAGAUAAUUGCAACUACAUGUGGUAAUCUAGAGGUUAUUAAAGAUCCUGACUUGAGGGAAAGAAAUUUAGGAGAUCUUCAAGGUCUUGUGUAUCGCGAGGCAGUCAUAACAAACCCUGAAGCUUCUGAGG